rnacentral:rRNA from 1 species
UACGGGGGGAGCAAGCGUUGUUCGGAUUUACUGGGCGUAAAGGGCGCGUAGGCGGUCAGCACAAGUCAGGUGUGAAAUCUCGGGGCUCAACCCCGAAACUGCACUUGAUACUGCCUCGCUUGAGUACUGGAGAGGAGACUGGAAUUUACGGUGUAGCAGUGAAAUGCGUAGAUAUCGUAAGGAAGACCAGUGGCGAAGGCGAGUCUCUGGACAGUUACUGACGCUGAGGUGCGAAAGCGUGGGGAGCAAACAGG